AGAAAUGUGAUUAUGUGAUGCCUUAAAAACGUGUAAAAGUAGGAAGAUUUUCUAUGUCAACAAGAAGUUCUCUGGGCAACACUGAAAGCAGGUCUUUGGAGCCUAUUACCUAUACCAGAUAUACUGGAAAGUAAUAGAACUGUACGUAAAUCCAACCCCCAUUCUUUGCCUGGAAAUAGUGAACAGAGGAACUUCGCUCCUGUGGGACAGAAGAAUUUGUUGGCUUAUAUGACCACAGAGUUGAAAUGGUGACUCUUCUCCAUGUGGACCCCACAAUACAGCUGAAAGCAAGUGCUUCUUUGCCAGUGCCUAUGGUCAAGUCCCCGUAUCAGUUCUGGUCAGGCCUACUGUAAGAGCACCACAGCAGGAAGGUGGAACUCACCAAUUGGUCAGGUCUGGGUCACACGGUCCACUCCACUAGAUUUCCCUUCAGCUGCACCUAAACCAUGUGGACCAACAGAAAGGAAGGUGGGGUUAAUCCACCCAGAUUGCAAGGAGUGAUGCCUAAAAUGGGGAGGAGAUUCUGAGCAGGAAAAACCACAAGCACUCAAUUCCUGUAGAUCUCAGAGAGGUUUGGGCAAGCUCUUCCUUUGCCAGUCUUGCUUCUCCCGUGUCCAUCAAUUUGGGAUUUUUCUUUCCUCUCCCUAAAUGGCAGAAUGGGGGAAAGGUAGGGAAGGAAAGUAUCCAAUCCCUAGAGUUGUAUCUCCCUCCUCAUCACAUGUGGCCAGUUUUUCACAAGCAAUUCUCCAGCUCUCACCCUCACUCAA